rnacentral:rRNA from 1 species
GGUUCUUAGAUCGUACAAUCCUACUUGGAUAACUGUGGUAAUUCUAGAGCUAAUACAUGCAACACAGCUCCGACCUUGCGGGAAGAGCGCUUUUAUUUGAUCAAAACCAAUCGGUCGCAAGGCCGUCUUCUUGGUGAAUCUGGAUAACUUUGUGCUGAUCGCACGGGCUUGCCCCGGCGACGUAUCUUUCAAAUGUCUGCCCUAUCAACUUUCGAUGGUACGUGAUAUGCCUACCAUGGUUGUAACGGGUAACGAA